UCCCCUUGGCAUUGGGCAAAGAGACACCUUGUUGGUGAUGUUGUUCUUCUAUCAGCCAGGGUCAGAGCAGAUGGUAGUCUUUGUUCGACCUAGCUGGGUGCCUGGCUUGGUGGCUAAAGCUGUUUUAUGCCUAGGACACAUAA